AACGAACGCUGGCGGCAUGCCUAACACAUGCAAGUCGAACGAGACCUUCGGGUCUAGUGGCGCACGGGUGCGUAACGAGUGGGAACCUGCCCUUAGGUUCGGAAUAACUCCCCGAAAGGGGUGCUAAUACCGGAUAAUGUCUUCGGACCAAAGAUUUAUCGCCUUUGGAUGGGCCCGCGUUGGAUUAGCUAGUUGGUAGGGUAAAAGCCUACCAAGGCGACGAUCCAUAGCUGGUCUGAGAGGAUGAUCAGCCACACUGGGACUGAGACACGGCCCAGACUCCUACGGGAGGCAGCAGUGGGGAAUAUUGGACAAUGGGCGAAAGCCUGAUCCAGCAAUGCCGCGUGAGUGAUGAAGGCCUUAGGGUUGUAAAGCUCUUUUACCCGGGAUGAUAAUGACAGUACCGGGAGAAUAAGCUCCGGCUAACUCCGU
rnacentral:rRNA from 1 species